rnacentral:rRNA from 1 species
ACUCCUACGGGAAGCAGCAGUGGGGAAUAUUGCACAAUGGGCGCAAGCCUGAUGCAGCCAUGCCGCGUGUAUGAAGAAGGCCUUCGGGUUGUAAAGUACUUUCAGCAGUGAGGAAGGCGGGUACGUUAAUAGCGUGCUUGUUUGUACGUUAGCUGCAGAAGAAGCACCGGCUAACUCCGUGCCAGCAGCCGCGGUAAUACGGAGGGUGCGAGCGUUAAUCGGAAUUACUGGGCGUAAAGCGCAUGCAGGUGGUUUGUUAAGUCAGAUGUGAAAGCCCGGGGCUCAACCUCGGAAUUGCAUUUGAAACUGGCAGACUAGAGUACUGUAGAGGGGGUAGAAUUUCAGGUGUAGCGGUGAAAUGCGUAGAGAUCUGAAGGAAUACCGGUGGCGAAGGCGGCCCCCUGGACAGAUACUGACACUCAGAUGCGAAAGCGUGGGAGCAAACAGGAUUAGAUACCCCUGGUAGCGACUGA